rnacentral:rRNA from 1 species
UCAGGCCUAACACAUGCAAGUCGAACGGCAGCACGGACUUCGGUCUGGUGGCGAGUGGCGAACGGGUGAGUAAUACAUCGGAACGUGCCCAGUCGUGGGGGAUAACGUAGCGAAAGCUACGCUAAUACCGCAUACGAUCUACGGAUGAAAGCGGGGGAUCGCAAGACCUCGCGCGAUUGGAGCGGCCGAUGGCAGAUUAGGUAGUUGGUGGGGUAAAGGCUCACCAAGCCGACGAUCUGUAGCUGGUCUGAGAGGACGACCAGCCACACUGGGACUGAGACACGGCCCAGACUCCUACGGGAGGCAGCAGUGGGGAAUUUUGGACAAUGGGCGCAAGCCUGAUCCAGCCAUUCCGCGUGCAGGAUGAAGGCCUUCGGGUUGUAAACUAAUGGGUACGGAACGAAACGGCUCUGGUUAAUACCCGGGGCUAAUGACG